AUUGAACGCUGGCGGCAGGCUUAACACAUGCAAGUCGAGCGGAGAUGAGGUGCUUGCACCUUAUCUUAGCGGCGGACGGGUGAGUAAUGCUUAGGAAUCUGCCUAUUAGUGGGGGACAACAUUCCGAAAGGAAUGCUAAUACCGCAUACGUCCUACGGGAGAAAGCAGGGGAUCUUCGGACCUUGCGCUAAUAGAUGAGCCUAAGUCGGAUUAGCUAGUUGGUGGGGUAAAGGCCUACCAAGGCGACGAUCUGUAGCGGGUCUGAGAGGAUGGUCCGCCACACUGGGACUGAGACACGGCCCAGACUCCUACGGGAGGCAGCAGUGGGGAAUAUUGGACAAUGGGGGGAACCCUGAUCCAGCCAUGCCGCGUGUGUGAAGAAGGCCUUAUGGUUGUAAAGCACUUUAAGCGAGGAGGAGGCUACUGAGACUAAUACUCUUGGAUAGUGGACGUUAUUCGCAGAAUAAGCACCGGCUAACUCUGUGCCAGCCGCCGCAGUAAGAC
rnacentral:rRNA from 1 species